rnacentral:rRNA from 1 species
UGGGUAACCUGCCCAAGAAAUCGGGAUAACACCUGGAAACAGAUGCUAAUACCGGAUAACAACAGAUGAUGCCUAUCAACUGUUUAAAAGAUGGUUCUGCUAUCACUCUUGGAUGGACCUGCGGUGCAUUAGCUAGUUGGUAGGGUAACGGCCUACCAAGGCGAUGAUGCAUAGCCGAGUUGAGAGACUUAUCGGCCACAUUGGGACUGAGACACGGCCCAAACUCCUACGGGAGGCAGCAGCU